GAUGAACGCUGGCGGCGUGCCUAAUACAUGCAAGUCGAGCGAACAGAUGCGGAGCUUGCUCCUCUGACGUUAGCGGCGGACGGGUGAGUAACACGUGGAUAACCUACCUAUAAGACUGGGAUAACUUCGGGAAACCGGAGCUAAUACCGGAUAAUAUAUUGAACCGCAUGGUUCAAUAGUGAAAGACGGUUUUGCUGUCACUUAUCGAUGGAUCCGCGCCGCAUUAGCUAGUUGGUAAGGUAACGGCUUACCAAGGCAACGAUGCGUAGCCGACCUGAGAGGGUGAUCGGCCACACUGGAACUGGGACACGGUCCAGACUCCUACGGGAGGCAGCAGUAGGGAAUCUUCCGCAAUGGGCGAAAGCCUGACGGAGCAACGCCGCGUGAGUGAUGAAGGUCUUCGGAUCGUAAAACUCUGUUAUUAGGGAAGAACAAAUGUGUAAGUAACUAUGCACGUCUUGACGGUACCUAAUCAGAAAGCCACGGCUAACUACGUG
rnacentral:rRNA from 1 species